rnacentral:lncRNA from 1 species
CCCUUUCUUCUCGUUCUUGGGCACCUCAACUUUUGCCUGAAUUGAGCUUAGAAGCCGCAUGGUCCCAAUCUUUGCUUCCUCCUUCUCGUGAUCCUCGAAUAAGGCCGAAAGCGUACUCUUUUUGGGGCAAUCCCUCGCAUAGUGUGGUCCAUCAUAAAAGAAGCAUUGGACCGGGGUCUUCGGUUUGGGAGGGAAAUCUCUACGUCCCUUGGCCCUUU